rnacentral:rRNA from 1 species
UGCAAGUGGAGCGACGAACCAGGGCUUGCCCUGGGGCAGAGCCGCGAACGGGUGAGUAACACGUGGGUUACCUGCCCCGAUGACCGGGACAACCCGAGGAAACUCGGGCUAAUACCGGAUGUGGUCUUCGGACGAAAGGAAGCUUCGGCCUCCGCAUCGGGAUGGGCCCGCGGCGCAUUAGCUUGUUGGUGGGGUAACGGCCUACCAAGGCUUCGAUGCGUAGCUGGUCUGAGAGGACGAUCAGCCACACUGGGACUGAGACACGGCCCAGACUCCUACGGGAGGCAGCAGUGGGGAAUCUUGCGCAAUGCGCGAAAGCGUGACGCAGCAAACGCCGCGUGGGGGAAAGACGGCCUUCGGGUUGUAAACCUCUUUCAGUUGGGGACGAGGCCAUCCNGGUUAAUAGCCCGGUUUUGGGUUGACGGUACC